rnacentral:rRNA from 1 species
GACGAACGCUGGCGGCGUGCUUAACACAUGCAAGUCGAACGGAAAGGCCCUGCUUUUGUGGGGUGCUCGAGUGGCGAACGGGUGAGUAACACGUGAGUAACCUGCCCUUGACUUUGGGAUAACUUCAGGAAACUGGGGCUAAUACCGGAUAGGAGCUCCUGCUGCAUGGUGGGGGUUGGAAAGUUUCGGCGGUUGGGGAUGGACUCGCGGCUUAUCAGCUUGUUGGUGGGGUAGUGGCUUACCAAGGCUUUGACGGGUAGCCGGCCUGAGAGGGUGACCGGCCACAUUGGGACUGAGAUACGGCCCAGACUCCUACGGGAGGCAGCAGUGGGGAAUAUUGCACAAUGGGCGGAAGCCUGAUGCAGCAACGCCGCGUGCGGGAUGACGGCCUUCGGGUUGUAAACCGCUUUCGCCUGUGACGAAGCGUGAGUGACGGUAAUGGGUAAAGAAGCACCGGCUAACUACGUGCCAGCAGCCGCGGUGAUACGUAGGGUGCGAGCGUUGUCCGGAUUUAUUGGGCGUAAAGGGCUCGUAGGUGGUUGAUCGCGUCGGAAGUGUAAUCUUGGGGCUUAACCCUGAGCGUGCUUUCGAUACGGGUUGACUUGAGGAAGGUAGGGGAGAAUGGAAUCCUGGUGGAGCGGUGGAAUGCGCAGAUAUCAGGAGGAACACCAGUGGCGAAGGCGGUUCUCUGGGCCUUUCCUGACGCUGAGGAGCGAAAGCGUGGGGAGCGAACAGGCUUAGAUACCCUGGUAGUCCACGCUGUAAACGGUGGGUACUAGGUGUGGGGUCCAUUCCACGGGUUCCGUGCCGUAGCUAACGCUUUAAGUACCCCGCCUGGGGAGUACGGCCGCAAGGCUAAAACUCAAAGGAAUUGACGGGGCCCCGCACAAGCGGCGGAGCAUGCGGAUUAAUUCGAUGCAACGCGUAGAACCUUACCUGGGUUUGACAUGGAUCGGGAGUGCUCAGAGAUGGGUGUGCCUCUUUUGGGGUCGGUUCACAGGUGGUGCAUGGCUGUCGUCAGCUCGUGUCGUGAGAUGUUGGGUUAAGUCCCGCAACGAGCGCAACCCUUGUUCACUGUUGCCAGCACGUUAUGGUGGGGACUCAGUGGAGACCGCCGGGGUCAACUCGGAGGAAGGUGGGGAUGACGUCAAGUCAUCAUGCCCCUUAUGUCCAGGGCUUCACGCAUGCUACAAUGGCUGGUACAGAGAGUGGCGAGCCUGUGAGGGUGAGCGAAUCUCGGAAAGCCGGUCUCAGUUCGGAUUGGGGUCUGCAACUCGACCUCAUGAAGUCGGAGUCGCUAGUAAUCGCAGAUCAGCAACGCUGCGGUGAAUACGUUCCCGGGGCU